rnacentral:rRNA from 1 species
GAUGAACGCUGGCGGCGUGCCUAAUACAUGCAAGUCGAGCGAACGGACGAGAAGCUUGCUUCUCUGAUGUUAGCGGCGGACGGGUGAGUAACACGUGGAUAACCUACCUAUAAGACUGGGAUAACUUCGGGAAACCGGAGCUAAUACCGGAUGAUAUUUUGAACCGCAUGGUUCAAAAGUGAAAGACGGUCUUGCUGUCACCUAUAGAUGGAUCCGCGCUGCAUUAGCUAGUUGGUAAGGUAACGGCUUACCAAGGCAACGAUGCAUAGCCGACCUGAGAGGGUGAUCGGCCACACUGGAACUGAGACACGGUCCAGACUCCUACGGGAGGCAGCAGUAGGGAAUCUUCCGCAAUGGGCGAAAGCCUGACGGAGCAACGUCGCGUGAGUGAUGAAGGUCUUCGGAUCGUAAAACUCUGUUAUUAGGGAAGAACAUAUGUGUAAGUAACUGUGCACAUCUUGACGGGACCUAAUCAGAAAGCCACGGCUAACUACG